rnacentral:rRNA from 1 species
CAAUAGCAUAUAUUAAAGUUGUUGCGGUUAAAAAGCUCGUAGUUGGAUUUCUGCAUGGAUGGAGCGGUCCACCCUUUGGGUGAGUUACUGCUACCUUUUGUGCAUCUUCCUGAGAAGGCGUUCUUCACUUCAUUGUGAAGCCGCAUGACUCAGGACGUUUACUUUGAGGAAAUGAGAGUGUUUCAAGCAUGCAAAUGCCUUGAAUACGGUAGCAUGGAAUAAUAGCAUCAGACCAUCGUCCAGCUGCUGGUGUCUGGGCGAAAGUAAAGGUGAAUAGGCAUUGUUGGGGGCAUUCGUAUUUAACUGUCAGAGCUGAAAUUCUUGGAUUUGUUGAAGACGGACUACUGCGAAAGCAACUGCCAAAGAUGUUCUCAUUGAUCAAGAACGAAUGUUAGGUGAUCGAAGACGAUCAGAUACCGU